rnacentral:tRNA from 1 species
GGGAGUGCAGCCUAGUGGUCCCAGUUUUGCAAAAACUGGUGAGAAUUUUUCAAUUCCACUCCCU